rnacentral:rRNA from 1 species
AACGAACGCUGGCGGCAUGCCUAACACAUGCAAGUCGAACGAGACCUUCGGGUCUAGUGGCGCACGGGUGCGUAACGCGUGGGAACCUGCCCUUAGGUUCGGAAUAACUCCCCGAAAGGGGUGCUAAUACCGGAUAAUGUCUUCGGACCAAAGAUUUAUCGCCUUUGGAUGGGCCCGCGUUGGAUUAGCUAGUUGGUAGGGUAAAAGCCUACCAAGGCGACGAUCCAUAGCUGGUCUGAGAGGAUGAUCAGCCACACUGGGACUGAGACACGGCCCAGACUCCUACGAGAGGAAGCAGUGGGGAAUGGUAGAAAAUUGGCGAGAGCCGAAUCCUGCAAUGCCGGGUGAGAGAUGAAGGCCAUAGGGAGGUAAAGCUCUCUUCCCCGGGGUGAUAAUGACAGUACCGAGAGAAUAAGCGCCGGCUAACUCCGUG